GCCUGGGUGGCUCAGUCGGUUGAGCAUCUGACUUCAGCUCAGGUCAUGAUCUCGCGUCCGUGAGUUCGAGCCCCGCGUCGGGCU
rnacentral:tRNA from 1 species